UUCGAGGUAGUGACGAGAAAUAACAAUACAGGGCAUUUUAUGCUCUGUAAUUGGAAUGAUGGGAAUGUAAAACCCUCUCAGAGUAACAAUUGGAGGGCAAGUCUGGUGCCAGCAGCCGCGGUAAUUCCAGCUCCAAUAGUGUAUAUUAGAGUUGUUGCAGUUAAAAAGCUCGUAGUUGGAUUUCUGUCGUGGUCAUCCGGUACCGCCCGUAUGGGUGCGCACCUGGUUUGACCUCGGCUUUCUUCCGGUAGCCUUCCGCGCUUCAUUGCGUGGUUGGUGUUCCGGAACUUUUACUUUGAGAAAAAUAGAGUGUUUCAAGCAGGCUUGUCGCCCUGAAUACUUCAGCAUGGAAUAAUAAGAUAGGACCUUGGUUCUAUUU
rnacentral:rRNA from 1 species